rnacentral:rRNA from 1 species
AGUGAACGCUGGCGGUAGGCCUAACACAUGCAAGUCGAACGGCAGCACAGUAAGAGCUUGCUCUUACGGGUGGCGAGUGGCGGACGGGUGAGGAAUACAUCGGAAUCUACUUUUUCGUGGGGGAUAACGUAGGGAAACUUACGCUAAUACCGCAUACGACCUACGGGUGAAAGCAGGGGAUCUUCGGACCUUGCGCGAUUGAAUGAGCCGAUGUCGGAUUAGCUAGUUGGCGGGGUAAAGGCCCACCAAGGCGACGAUCCGUAGCUGGUCUGAGAGGAUGAUCAGCCACACUGGAACUGAGACACGGUCCAGACUCCUACGGGAGGCAGCAGUGGGGAAUAUUGGACAAUGGGCGGAAGCCUGCUCCAGCCAUACCGCGUGGGUGAAGAAGGCCUUCGGGUUGUAAAGACCUUUUGUUGGGAAAGAAAAGCAGCAGGUUAAUACCCCGCUGUUCUGACGGUACCCAAAGAAUAAGCACCGGCUAACUUCGUG